rnacentral:rRNA from 1 species
GGCGAAAGAGGGAGGAGUGCUUAACACAUGCAAGUCGAACGGAAAGGCCCUGCUUUUGUGGGGUGCUCGAGUGGCGAACGGGUGAGUAACACGUGAGUAACCUGCCCUUGACUUUGGGAUAACUUCAGGAAACUGGGGCUAAUACCGGAUAGGAGCUCCUGCUGCAUGGUGGGGGUUGGAAAGUUUCGGCGGUUGGGGAUGGACUCGCGGCUUAUCAGCUUGUUGGUGGGGUAGUGGCUUACCAAGGCUUUGACGGGUAGCCGGCCUGAGAGGGUGACCGGCCACAUUGGGACUGAGAUACGGCCCAGACUCCUACGGGAGGCAGCAGUGGGGAAUAUUGCACAAUGGGCGGAAGCCUGAUGCAGCAACGCCGCGUGCGGGAUGACGGCCUUCGGGUUGUAAACCGCUUUCGCCUGUGACGAAGCGUGAGUGACGGUAAUGGGUAAAGAAGCACCGGCUAACUACGUG